AACUGUGAAAAGCCAAAUGCAAAACCAAUAGCCAUUCCGUGUAAAAAACUCUCUCUGAAUAUUUUCUUCAGUUGCAAUCUGUAGAGCUCCAUUACUUUGUUACCAGCACAGAAUGCUACAACAGUGUAAAUGUUUCUAACAGCAUCCUCAAGGACCAAUGAUGCCUUCCUAUGCAUCUCCUGGAUUCCCCUCGAAAAUCCAGCAAGCCACAACUUCUGUGCAAUUGCAGAAACCAUGAGAAUGGGCAAGGUUGCCAAUGCCACGAGAGCCAAUCGCCAUUGAAGCAGCAUUCCAAUGACAACAGCAACAACAACAGCAGCACUGUCCUGUAUAAAUAUUGAAAGCCGGUUGCUAAAAGCUGCUCGCACAAAUGUAGCAUCAUUAGCCAACCGCAUGGAUAAUGUGUCGGCACUAUUCUCCUCUUCAUCAAACCAUCCAACUUCAUUGCGCAGCAUUGCUGAAAACAUCAUUCUCCGGACUCGCUCAGUCAUUUUUUCACCCAUAAUACCAAAAUAGAAGUGCUGCAAAAAAUUUGCAACAACUGUCACCACACCCAUGCAGGCAAUGAUCAAGCACCACUUGUCUACAUCCUGCUGCAAGUGAUGACGUUCAGGCCUAUAAUAAGCAGUCACUAUCAGCGCAAUAACAUAAGCAAGAAGUGGAUUAAGAGAACCAAAGAUAGCAGCUCCAAUGCUUCCUAAAACAGCAUAAAGCCACUCUGCAAAGCUAAGUUCUGCCAGCCUCCAAAAAGAUGGUGCUUCCCGAUGCUUUGUAUCCUUUGCAUCCUUACAUGUAGUUGGAAUAUCAUCCGAGUGACUAUGAGGCCGACUAAAAGUCUGUGAGUGGGAACGUUCAUUUUUAGGAUCAGAAGUCAAAAGGGGCGAUACAGGUGAUUCAGGAUCUGACCCAUUUGAUGUUUGCCGAUUUGCAGACUGGACAUCAAUCUUGGGUAACUCUGGUAGUCGCAUUUCAAAACUAUCCUGUCUCCUUAUUGAUGGUUCUUUAUCAGCUGCAUCCAAGCGACAACCAUUUUCCAUCAUUUUCUCUGGUGGUG
rnacentral:misc_RNA from 1 species